rnacentral:sRNA from 1 species
UCCCUAACACCUAAGAAUCCUUGCAACGA